rnacentral:misc_RNA from 1 species
UCACUACUUGCGUAGGCAGUCUGGCUAGAGUCCCCACCAUUACGUGCUGGUAACUAACCACAGGGGUUGCGCUCGUUGCGCCACUUAAGGCAACACCUCACGACACGAGCUGACGACAGCCUUGCACCACCUGUCACCCAGUCCGAAGAGGCCUCUAUCUCUAGAGGUUUCCGGGUGAUGUCAAACCUAGGUAAGGUUCUUCGCGUUGCUUCGAAUUAAACCACAUGCUCCACCGCUUGUGCGGGCCCCCGUCAAUUCCUUUGAGUUUCAGUCUUGCGACCGUACUCCCCAGGCGGCGAACUUAACGCGUUAGCUUCGAUACUGCGUGCCAAAUUGCACCCAACAUCCAGUUCCCAUCGUUUACGGCGUGGACUAC